rnacentral:rRNA from 1 species
GAGAGUUUGAUCCUGGCUCAGGAUGAACGCUGGCGGCGUGGAUAAUGCAUGCAAGUCGAACGCCCCGCCCUUUCUUUGAGCAAUCUUAGAAAGGGCGGGGAGUGGCAGACGAGUUAGUAACACGUAGGAACUUACCCCCGACGCGGCCAUAACUCUUCGAAAGAGGAGCUAAUAGCCGAUGGUCUCCGAUCUCGCAAGAGCAUCGGAGUAAAGGAGCAAUCCGGUCGGGGAGAGGCCUGCGGGCUAUCAGCUAGUUGGCGAGGUAAUGGCUCACCAAGGCUAUGACGGCUAGGGGGCGUGAGAGCGCGAUCCCCAACGAUGGAACUGAGACACGGUCCAUACACCUACGGGUGGCAGCAGUAGAGAAUAUUCGACAAUGGGGGAAACCCUGAUCGAGCGACGCCGCGUGCGGGAAGAAGCUCUUCGGAGCGUAAACCGCUUUUCUCUGGGAGGAACUAAAGUGACUGUACCAGAGGAAUAAGGGCUUGCUAACCUCGUGCCAGCAGCCGCGGUAAGACGAGGAGCCCAAGCGUUAUCCGGAUUUACUGGGCGUAAAGGGUGUGUAGGGGGCAUGGUUAGCCCCGCCUUAAAUUCUUAGGCUCAACCUAAGAGGUGGGCGGGGAACGGCCAAGCUUUAGAGGGUGCCAGAGGCAAAUGGAACUCAUGGUGUAGGGGUGAAAUCCGUUGAUAUCAUGGGGAACACCGAAGGCGAAGGCAAUUUGCUGGGGCAUUCCUGACCCUGAAACACGAAAGCGUGGGGAUCAAAAAGGAUUGAAAGUUCGCUCAUACCUUUCUUUUUUCGGCUUGGGAAAAACUUGAAGGUUUUUCUAGGCUUUCAAAAAGAAGAUAUUCGCUCCCAUAGUGGGAGCGGAACGUAAGGGUACGUUGAGCGCUAGUCCCCCAGCACCACUUUUGAAUUUGAGUCGUAAAGAUUCGAAAAUAAAAGUGGUGCUGGGGUAAAAAACUUGGCUAUAUGCUGGAAAGUCCGGCGUAUCCAAAACUACUUAGGAGGUUAUUAUGGAAAGAAUUAUUCUUGAGCAAAUAACCAUUAUUCGAGAAGAAAAUGGCUUUGUAAAAAUCGAGAAAUCAACGCCAUUUGGGAAGACGCAUGUCAUUGAAAUGGAAGUACGCUUCCCAGUUCAUGAACUCGAGAAAUUGUCAGUGAAUGAUUUUCUGGAAAAAGUAUCAGAAAAACUUAAGUAAAAAUGUUUUGGUGCGGACAAUCAGCAGGGAAGUCGCCUUAGGCGACCCCUCAACGACUAUACGCCGAGAGGCAGAAAGGAGGAAAAGGAGGCUUGGAAGCCUAGCUUCCGACCUCCAAAAUCUUAAUUCUGUUUAUGAUAUAGUCUGAACUCCAUGGCGACAUGGAGAGGCAGAUAGAAAUAUUCUGCUCACUUGGCGACCUGGUCGCCAAGUCGUAACAAAUUUGUAGAUACCCUUGUAGUCCACGCCCUAAACGAUGCACGCUAGGCAUCCGAAGUAUCGACCCUUCGGGAGCCGUAAGCUAACGCGUUAAGCGUGCCGCCUGGGAAGUACGAACGCAAGUUUAAAACUCAAAGGAAUAGACGGGGACUCGCACAAGCGGUGGAGCAUGUGGUUCAAUUCGAUGGUAAACGAAAAACCUUACCAGGGCUUGAAAUGGAUCUGACGGCGCUCGAAAGAGUUGCCCUCUCACAAGGACAGAUUCACAGGUGAUGCAUGGCUGUCGUCAGUUCGUGGCUUGAGUUGUUCCCUUAAGUGGGGUAACGAACGCAACCCUUAUCGCGCGUUACAAGUGUCGCGCGAGACUGCCUCGAUAAACGGGGAGGAAGGCGAGGAUGACGCCAAGUCCGCAUGUCCCUCUGAUGCCCUGGGCUACUCACGUGCUACAAUGCCCUCUACAAU